ensembl:lncRNA
CCCCUGGACCCAGCUGUGUCUCCAUGAUGAGUGGAUGGAACAUCCUCUAUGGAACAUCCUUUUAACUUUAAAGAUGGAAAUCAGUCUAUUGAGAAAAGAAGAGUCCAGCAGCAGAGAGCAGACUCCCUGGACCCAGCUGUGUCUCCAUGAAGAGUGACCACUCUAUGAAUCAUCCUGCUGAGUUGAAAGAUGGAAAUCAGUCUAUUGAGAAGAGCCCAGAGCAGCAGCAGAGAGCAGACUCCCCUGGACCCAGCUGUGUCUCCAUGAAGAGUGACCACUCUAUGAAUCAUCCUGCUGAGUUGAAAGAUGGAAAUCAGUCUAUUGAGAAAAGCCCAGAGCAGCAGCAGAGAGCAGACUCCCCUGGACCCAGCUGUGUCUCCAUGAAGAGUGACCACUCUAUGAAUCAUCCUGCUGAGUUGAAAGAUGGAAAUCAGUCUAUUGAGAAAAGCCCAGAGCAGCAGCAGAGAGCAGACUCCCCUGGACCCAGCUGUGUCUCCAUGAAGAGUGACCACUCUAUGAAUCAUCCUGCUGAGUUGAAAGAUGGAAAUCAGUCUAUUGAGAAAAG